rnacentral:antisense_RNA from 1 species
GACUACCCAGGUGGCUAGCAUCUACUUGGAUAAGAAUGUCCUGAGCUUCAAAUCUCUUCCCUGAUAAAAAGAGGGCUGCUGCUCUCAAGGAACUUCAGUCAAGGGGGAGUGGGGGAAGACAGUCCCAUACACAGACAAAAAACUAGGGGGUGAAAGGCCAAUGAGUGGUGGGAAGGAAAGGGAAAGAAGCUUCCAGAAGAAAAGACAGAAGCUGAUUGAGGUCCCAGCUUGGUAACAGUUUGAAGAGUUGCAGGACUGGCUGGAUGAGUACUGGCUGCAGCAAGUCAGGCUGCCAGGAUUCUUUAUGGCUGUUUCUGCUUCCACUACAGCUGAGUCAGAAAGGUCGCUGCCCAGUGGUGGCACUAGACGCAGUGGACCUGGCAAGCAAAUGUUUCCGCUAUUAGCUCUCAGCAACAGAGACUCAUUUAUGGUCACCUUGGAAAUCUGGGCUUAUCGAUCUACAGCCCAAGUCUGCUGAGAAGCUGGAGCUUAAUAAAGGGGAAACCUGAGAGCUGUUCAAGCCCCAAACAUUUUCCACUUCUGCGUCACCUCUGCUGUCUGUUAGCAGAGUGGAGGAGAAAAUACACCAGCACAAACAAUGCGAAAAAAUAGUUACUCUAUUCAUUAAAAGCUGUAACUUCCAGAUUGGACUUGAGAAGCAAUUAAGCAACAGAGGCACCUCGUCUACUAUCUGUAUUCAGGCAUGCUCAUGAGAACACGCUGC